GACGUAGGGGGCGAGCGUUGUCCGGAUUUAUUGGGCGUAAAGAGCGUGUAGGCGGCCAGGUAGGUCUGCUGUGAAAACUCGAGGCUCAACCUCGAGACGUCGGCGGAAACCAUCUGGCUAGAGUCCGGAAGAGGAGAGUGGAAUUCCUGGUGUAGCGGUGAAAUGCGCAGAUAUCAGGAAGAACACCGAUGGCGAAGGCAGGUCACUGGGCCGCAACUGACGCUGAGGAGCGAAAGCAUGGGGAGCGAACAGG
rnacentral:rRNA from 1 species